rnacentral:rRNA from 1 species
GACGAACGCUGGCGGCGUGCUUAACACAUGCAAGUCGAACGGAAAGGCCCUGCUUGCAGGGUACUCGAGUGGCGAACGGGUGAGUAACACGUGGGUGAUCUGCCCUGCACUUCGGGAUAAGCUUGGGAAACUGGGUCUAAUACCGGAUAGGGACCAUCUUGAGGGUGGGGGUUGGAAAGUUUUUUGGGUGUGGGAUGGGUCCGCGGCCUAUCGGCUUGUUGGUGGGGUAAUGGCCUACCAAGGCGGCGACGGGUAGCCGGCCUGGGGGGGUGUACGGCCCAAUUGGGAAUAGGGAAGGGCCCGGAUCCCACAGGGGGGAGGACGGGGGGAAAUUUGCCAAAGGGGGGCAAGCCGGUGGCAGGGAGCCCCGGGGGGGAUGAAGGCCUUCGGGUUGUAAACUCCUUUCGCUAGGGACGAAGCUUUGUUGUGACGGUACCUAGAGAAGAAGCACCGGCUAACUACGUG